AUAUAUUGUUAAGAAGUUUGGAGGGAAAUCUGUUUAUGAGAUAGGUUGCAGUAAGCACACAAUCUCCCCAGAAUCUAAGGGGUAGUUGGGAAUGAAAAAGUAAGGCUCUUGAGGUUUCUAGCAGAUAUCUAUGUUUUCUUUCAACCACACCAUUUUGUUGUGGUGUGUGAUAACAGAAAGUUUGGUGCAUUAUUCCAGUUUUAGCAAAGAAAUUGCUGCCACAACCACUAGACCCAAGUUCAAGUGCAUUGUCUGAGAUUUGGUGUAUUAUUCCAUUUUCAGCAAAGAAAUUGCUGCCAUAACCACUAGAUCCAAGUUCAAAAGCAUUGUCACUUCUAACGGUUUGUACAACAGCCUGGAAUUAGGUUUUGAUCAGGGCAAUGAAAGCUUUGAUAAGGGGAAAGGCAUUGAUCUUGGACCCCAUAAGGUGAGUCCAAGUAGCUCGAGUAAAGUCAUCAACUAUUGUUAGGAAAUAUUUACAUCCAUUAUGAGUGAGAGUGGCAUAAGGACCCCAGGUAACCACAUGAAUGAGUUAAAAGGCAUGUGUUGUCUUAAUGGAACUGUCAUGAAAAGGCAACCUAGAUUGCCUGGCUAAUGGGCAAACAGUACAUAUGAAAGGUUGUUUAGUUGAAAAUUUGCAUGGUAUAUGAUGGAUGUCUUUGAUCCUAACAAAAGGUAUGUGCCCUAGUCUAUUAUGCCAUAACAUCUCCAUUUUAUUCAAUUCAGAAUGGUAUGUACAAUGAGAGGAAGAAACAGAAUCAAGAGUGGCAUAAGGACCCCAGGUAACCACAUGAAUGAGUUAAAAGGCAUGUGUUGUCUUAAUGGAACUGUCAUGAAAAGGCAACCUAGAUUGCCUGGCUAAUGGGCAAACAGUACAUAUGAAAGGUUGUUUAGUUGAAAAUUUGCAUGGUAUAUGAGGGAUGUCUUUCACCCUAACAAAAGGUAUGUGUCCUAGUCUAUUAUGCCAUAACAUCUCCAUAUUAUUUAAUUCAGAAUGGUAUGUACAAUGAAAGGAAGAAACAGAAUCAACAGCUAAUGGAGAA
rnacentral:lncRNA from 1 species